rnacentral:rRNA from 1 species
UACGUAGGGGGCAAGCGUUGUCCGGAUUUAUUGGGCGUAAAGAGCGUGUAGGCGGCCAUGCAGGUCCGUUGUGAAAACUCGAGGCUCAACCUCGAGACGUCGAUGGAAACCGCAUGGCUAGAGUCCGGAAGAGGAGAGUGGAAUUCCUGGAUGUGAGCGGUGAAAUGCGCAGACUAUCAGGAAGAACACCCGUGGCGAAGGCGGCUCUCUGGGACGGUACUGACGCUGAGACGCGAAAGCGUGGGAGCGAACAGG